rnacentral:rRNA from 1 species
GACGAACCACACAAACGUUAUUCGGAAUUACUGGGCUUAAAGGGUGCGUAGGCGGCGUGGAAAGUUGGGUGUGAAAUCCCUCAGCUUAACUGAGGAACAGCGCCCAAAACUACCAUGCUCGAGGGAGAUAGAGGAAUGCGGAACUUAGGGUGGAGCGGUGAAAUGCGUUGAUAUCCUAGGGAACACCGGUGGCGAAAGCGGCAUUCUGGAUCUCUUCUGACGCUGAGGCACGAAAGCUAGGGUAGCAAACGGG